CAUUUAUUAUCCUAGCUUACCCCGCAACCCAUCUGCUCAUUCGAUCAUCAAAAUCCAGUGAAAGAACCCUUGCUACAGCUCAUGGCGAACGCCAACCAAGGUCCAGAUUCGGUGGCCCUGCUUGUAGUCCCGUGCCUGGAUUGCGGCAGGUUAGUGAUGACGUUCGUGUCAGUUCGCUGGCGAGCGGUUCUACAACUACAAGUGUCACAAUCACAAACCGGGGAGAGGUGGAUGUGAUUUCUACAUGUGGCAGGAAGCCUACGCGGAACACCUGGCUAUGCUUGGACGGCGGCACCUCCGGUAGCGCAAAUCAAUCAAGGUCAGCAGGAAAUCGCAGCACCAAAUCAAGGUUGUCAGAUGCAGGCGGCGGAUGCAUGGUGGGGUGGGGGCGUGGGGCAGCAGAACGGUGCACCGGAAGCCUCGCAUUUGGCAUCGGCGGCAAGCGAAGCUGCAGGAUCUUCCCUCGCUGUGGCGGCUGUUGCUCAGCAUCAGGCAACCAUCGCCCUCGACCCUGCAUCCAUCAAUUUGGUGGUGUCUGUUGGCAAGUAGCAGCACACAUAGAUAACACUUUGAUGGCCAAUUCUGGAAGAUAUCAUAAAAAAGAAGAUGAAAAAUUAAUAGGAAAUAAGAGACGAAAAUCAAUCUGAUCACCAAUAGUAGAACAUGUCAUCAGCAGCACACACAAAUAACAUGAGAUCUUAAUUACCCAGUAAUGCACGGAGGUUAGUUUUAAGCAACACAUAGCCACAUAAGUCAAAGGUUUUGGACAGAUACAAGAGGAAAUAUUGUCACAAUUUCUAAGUUGACAAUACAUAAUUUAUUUCACACAGCUGGAUACUGAGCACUCAUCAUACAAGGGAAAAACAGUGGAAAUUCAGUGAUAAACCAGAUUAAUCCAAGUCAAAGGUUUUAGACAUAUACAAGAGGAAACAUUGUCACAAUUCCUAAGCUGACAAUACAUAAUUUAUUUCACACCACUAGGUUGUGAGCAAUCAUCAUACAAGGGAAAAACGGUGGAAGUUCAGUGAUACACCAGAUUAAUCACAUUUCCACAGGUCGUUCAUGUGUAGCUUUCUGAGGAACAUGUAAACAAUCUUUGGAUUGUUGCAGACUUGCAGGUGUUCUUGCGAUGCCCUCCCACUCCGCAUAUUGAGCAUUUGGCUUUUUUUCCUUUUCUUUUGAGGGAGCUCACCCCGCUGUGGACAUGUUGUGCUCUUGUGCCCUGG